GACGAACGCUGGCGGCGUGCUUAACACAUGCAAGUCGAACGGAAAGGCCCUGCUUUUGUGGGUUGCUCGAGUGGCGACCGGGUGAGUAACCCGUGAGUAACCUGCCCUUGACUUUGGGAUAACUUCAGGAAACUGGGGCUAAUACCGGAUAGGAGCUCCUGCUGCAUGGUGGGGGUUGGAAAGUUUCGGCGGUUGGGGAUGGACUCGCGGCUUAUCAGCUUGUUGGUGGGGUAGUGGCUUACCAAGGCUUUGACGGGUAGCCGGCCUGAGAGGGUUACCGGCCACAUUGGGACUGGGAUACGGCCCAGACUCCUACGGGAGGCAGCAGUGGGGAAUAUUGCACAAUGGGCGGAAGCCUGAUGCAGCAACGCCGCGUGCGGGAUGACGGCCUUCGGGUUGUAAACCGCUUUCGCCUGUGACGAAGCGUGAGUGACGGUAAUGGGUAAAGAAGCACCGGCUAACUACGUG
rnacentral:rRNA from 1 species